CGCGGAAAUCAGAGGGAGAAGGACCGAGAGAGGGCUCAGGCUCGUAACCCUGGCAAGGGCAAAUCCAAGGAUGAUGGUUUGACCCACGAGCAGCGCCGUGAAAGGGAUGCGAAGGCUCUACAGGAGAAGGCGGCGAAGAAGGCGGCUCAGGCAUCAGGGGGAGAUAAUUCGUCCGGAGGUAAAAGUAGCAAUAAAAAGUAAAUCGCCGUGAACUAUGUCGAUUUUUAACUUUGUUCUUGUUGGAACGCUGAGAUCUCGUGGAUUUCUUAAGACUGUUUGAUAUUGGAGAAACAACCUCUGUAUGUCUAAAUGAUGUGAAUGGAUAUGUAUUAUGCGGUCAACGUUAAUUGGAGAAAACUCUCUUGAUAUGUUGUGUUGAGCUGAUUAUGUUGUUAAUGCUUGAUUUCCUGGAGAUUGGAUCUAGAUGAGAAGUUUCUCAAUUAUGAUCUGAUCUAACACAGAUCUUCAUGAAGAAAAGAAAUGAAAUCUUAUGGUUCUAUCAUUUGACUUCUUUAGUUACAAUUUUCAUUAGAAUGAUAAAUCCUUCUGUUCCUUUGCAUUAACACAAGACAAAAUUACAAAAGGAGAUUUCUAUUGUUAAUAAUUUAGUUGUUGGCUCCUAGAGAGAGGCACUGAAAUGGGCCAGAUCCCACGUCUCCUCCCCUCUUGUUCCUUUCCAACUGUGUGUCCAGAAUAUAGCCGACAAAAUGACUAGCCAUUUUACCACACUUCAGGUUCUAAAUCCUAUGCUUAUACUUACUGACCAAAAUCCUUUGCCACAAUGUUUCAGCCUCUAAAGGGGUACCCCUUCACAAUUCAUUGGUCGAAACGUACAAAAUUCUUGUGUGAUAAAAUUCCUAUGCUCAACUUGCAACUCACAUCUUUUUGGAAAUGACCUCCCACUAAAUCAAAUGAGAACCACCCCAUUCAUCUUCAGGUACUCUUUGCCAACAAAAAAACCUCUCAUAAUAUGCUCCAACUUAUGGAAAAUUGAGGAUCAAAUCCUAAAGAAAUGAAGAAACUAAAUUAGAAUCCCAUCAAAGAAACAUUGGAUCAAAAAGAGUGCCCCUGUAACAAAAAACCUAGAAAAAAAUGUCUUGUCUGAGUAAAUAAAUGUUGUUCAACCCAUUGAAUCUUGGAACAAAUAAGAUGUCAGUCCUCAGAUUAUGACUGAAUGGAAGGCCUAGAUAUAGACUUAGGCAGGCAAGAGAUCUCACACCCUACCAAAUAAGCCCACCUGGCUAGUUUACCUUGACCACAUACUUUCCCAACUACGUUACAGUUUUGUGUGUUGGUUUAAAAACCUGAAAUGAAUUCAAAGACCAGUAAGAUAUGUUUGAGGUUAAAGAAGGCAAUCCUCCAUUAAGCUGAAGAAGAUAGCCUCAUUAGAAAUGUGAAGGUGGGUAGCAUGAACACUUUCUUUUCCUCCAUAGAAUAUCUUUUACGUCUUAUACCCUAGGAAACAAUCUUGCCAAGGACAAAUAUUAACAACCAAAAGGUGAAGGAAUGGAUAUAAAGGAUCCUCAACCUAAUGUUCCUGGAAGCAAACUUCGCCUUUAGGUUUACCAAGGACAAGAAAAGAGAAAUUCAUCAAUCUUAAUCAAUUCCUUACAUAGAUUAUCCACUUGGAACCAAAACCCUUUUUCCUCAAUCUUAUGAAAAAAACUUAGGGAACGGUGCUAGGCAAGAACAUCCACGAUUACUUGAAUAAGCAGUCUAGUUACAUUUACAAUGAUAUUCAUCUAAAGAUGUACAUAACAGCAUUAACAGAUACUAGCCUUCUGGUGUUCUGUUUGAAAGUCAUACUUUAUCUCCCUGUCUCCAUUCAUCUUGGAAUUGUUUUGCAAUAAUUUUUCCUCACGAAUCUUUCCUCUUACUCUUUGUCUAUAUCCUUGUUUUUCAAACACCAUUAUGAAGGAAAGGAAUGUAGAAUUAGAGUCCUACCUUUACUUUCAGCUUCAGAUGUUUCCUCACGAACUUUCUUCUCAUUCUUUGUCUAUAUCAUUGUUUUUCAAACGCCAUUAUGAAGGAAAGGAAUGUAGAAUUAGAGUCCUACCCUUACUUUCAGCUUCUGAUGUGCUGGGAAAGUAGCAUGUAGCAAGUUUUGGCUAGUAGUAACCCAAUUAAAAAGGGAAUGGGAGGAGAUAGCAUUGUCUAAUGAACGACGUAAUAGUUUUCCCAACCGAAACGGUACCAAACUGUUAACAGUGUCAAGGUGGGUGAAAUCAUAGGCUACUAGUGUUUUCAAUCCUAUGUCAGUGUCCUCAUUGCCAACACUGCUUAAAUGCAAUGUUUAGAUGAUUAUGCAUCCAUGUACGGUUUAUGUGCUAUUAUGUAGCAACUUCUAGGAUGUGCUCAUGGGCUAAAGUUCUAUUAGUCAUGAUUAUUGGCAGUGGUUGGGUCAAUUUAAACUGUUUUAUUUUGGACUAGGGUCCUUUUUCUGUAGUUAGAUUUAGACUCCUUUGUUCACACUUGUUUUUUGUAUGCUCUUGACUCUUGAGCGUGGUUAUCUAAAAAACUGUACCAUCAUGUGUCAAGCUUUAACAGACAGCUAUGAAGUUAAGAAGUGUCUGGAUAAAAUAUCUGCUUAGACUGAAGGAGAUGCUUGUGGCAAGCCCUUAGAGAAUAUAUUCCUGACAUAGGAAAAGGUAAUAGAGAGAUUGAGAAGAG